rnacentral:rRNA from 1 species
UACGAGGGGGGCAAGCGUUGUUCGGAAUUAUUGGGCGUAAAGGGCGCGUAGGCGGCCUGUUAAGUCGAACGUGAAAUCCCUGGGCUCAACCCAGGAACUGCGUCCGAUACUGGCAGGCUUGAAUCCGGGAGAGGGAUGUGGAAUUCCAGGUGUAGCGGUGAAAUGCGUAGAUAUCUGGAGGAACACCGGUGGCGAAGGCGGCGUUCUGGACUGUAACUGACACUGAGAGACGAAAGCCAGGGUAGCAAACGGG